rnacentral:rRNA from 1 species
UCCGUAGGUGAACCUGCGGAAGGAUCAUUUCUGAAGGCUUUUUGCCAAAACCACUGUGAACAGCUUAGACUUCGGUCUUUGCAAUUGCUUGGGUGUCGAAAGGCGCCCAAUCUUUAAAACUUUUAUAUUUGUUCUGAAACAAUGAAAAUUUAAAACUUUCAACAACGGAUCUCUUGGUUCUCGUAUCGAUGAAGAACGCAGCAAAGCGCGAUAGGUAAUGCGAAUUGCAGACGUGAGUCAUUGAAUUUUUGAACGCAUAUUGCGCUAUUAGUUUGUCUAAUAGCAUUUGUUGGAGUGAUAAUCUUCCUCUCAACCAUUUUUGGUAUGAGGUCUUGCUCCUUUUAGGAGUUAAAAUCAUGGAAGUGCACACGUUAAUUAACUCUGUGCAGUUAUACACUUUUCAUCCUCCAAUCAAGCAAGGUUACCCGCUGAACUUAAGCAUAUCAAUAAGCGGAGGA